CGCACCUAUGAUGGUAAAGAUCGGUUCACAAAGAUGUUUAUUUAGAACCACUUCAUUCCCCAAACAUCAUGUUAUGAAGCAAAUAGUCAAAUUCGCAAUCUUUGCGACCUGGUUAGAAAUAUCCUUUACAAUUUUAUUAUUUAUUUGCAAUCUAUUAAUACCAAAUCAAAUUCUAUACCAAUACACAAAAUCUAAAGACAUUAUUGAAAUUUCUAAAACAACAAUUUUUUUAUAAAAAAGUAUAAGUUGAAAUUUAAAAAGUUAUAAAAAAAAUCAAUCAGCUUACUAUCAAAUUAAAAUUUCAUGAAUUUUUUAAAUAUUAUUUUAGAAAACAAAAUUGUUGAUUUAUAAAUAUCAAAUACUUAUAUUUACGGAUUAAUGUAAAUAAGUUUUAUAAUAUUUAUAAAUAAACUAUUUUCUUUUUUAAAAAGUAUUUAAAACAUAAAUAUAAUUUUAAUUUGAAGACUGAUUCAAGCGAGUGUUGCACUCGUAGAUGGGAGAACACAAAAAUGGAUAACAAUUAGUGAAUUUUAACAAAUGCUUACUUUAAUGAUCCAAAUCUUCACCCAAAAGACCACAGGAGACUAAUUAAUUUCACAUAUCAUAUGUAUGAACAACUAAUGAUUUCAUUAAUAGUUCCUUAGUCUUAUUUAUCAAUACAUUGAUUAUUAAAUAAUAUAAAAAAUCAACUUUCCCUUCUAAAUAAAACCAUAAAACCAGAGGGAAUAUUAAACUACCCUAAAUAGACCUUUUCUCAACAAUCUUGUUAAUGAAAAUUAAAGUUUAGCGUAAAUACCAAUACACUGAUUACCUGAUUACCUUAACGCCUAAUUGAAAUCUAUCCACAAUCACGUUCCUCGUAAGUACAAAGUUCAUUAAUCAAAAUACAGUUCUCAGCAUCACUUGUUUUAAUUAAACUUGUUAAAAGAUUAUAUACACAUCUUAUUAUAUAAGAGACGGAGAAAAUCCAGAGAUCAUGAUAAAUCUUUGUCGAUGAGUGUGCGUGGUAGAGCAAUGAAGAAAAAACGAAAGCAUAACGAGAGAAGAAGAAGAUCACACAGACCACACGAGAGAGAGAUCCCGGACGAUUUCCGUGCGAUCUCUCUCAGAAACAACAAAAUAUUCUUUUAUUCAUUUUUUGACCUGCCAUGCAAGCGCACCUGUCAUGGCAAAGGUCGGUUCACAAAUAUAUUAUUCAGAACAACUUCAUCCCCCAAACAACAAUCACAUAAUCUAAAUUCACAACACGAAUAGAGAUUUGACGUUAAUGAGACGCAACAAGCCAGCAACGCUUCCGUUACAAUAAUCUUCUCUACAACAAAUGAAACUGAAGCAAGCAGCGAUGAGAUACCAUCAUCGCAACAAUCCAAUUGUACAGGAUGAUUCAACAACAGUGACGAACGAAGAGAUUUCAAAAGUAAUACGAAUACGCAGAUCUCG
rnacentral:lncRNA from 1 species